rnacentral:rRNA from 1 species
GAUGAACGCUGGCGGCGUGCUUAACACAUGCAAGUCGAACGGUGAAGCCCAGCUUGCUGGGUGGAUCAGUGGCGAACGGGUGAGUAACACGUGAGCAACCUGCCCUGGACUCUGAGAUAAGCGCUGGAAACGGCGUCUAAUACUGGAUAUGAGACGUGAUCGCAUGGUCAACGUCUGGAAAGAUUUUUCGGUCUGGGAUG